GGAUUAGAUACCCUGGUAGUCCACGCCGUAAACGAUGAGAACUAGAUGUCGCGGGUGUUGACCCCUGCGGUGUCGUAGCUAACGCAUUAAGUUCUCCGCCUGGGAAGUACGGUCGCAAGAUUAAAACUCAAAGGAAUUGACGGGGGCCCGCACAAGCGGUGGAGCAUGUGGUUUAAUUCGACGCAACGCGCAGAACCUUACCUAGUCUUGACAUCCUUCGAAGCUGACCCAAAAGUUGGUGUGCCCGCAAGGGAGCGAAGAGACAGGUGCUGCAUGGCUGUCGUCAGCUCGUGCCG
rnacentral:rRNA from 1 species